UACGGAGGGUGCGAGCGUUGUCCGGAAUCACUGGGCGUAAAGGGCGCGUAGGCGGCUUGGGAAGUCUGUGGUGAAAGCUCGUGGCUCAACUGCGAGUCGGCCAUAGAUACUCCUAAGCUCGAGUCGACUAGAGGCAGAUGGAAUUCCGGGUGUAGCGGUGGAAUGCGUAGAGAUCCGGAAGAACACCGGUGGCGAAGGCGGCAUCCUGGACCGGUAUUGACGCUGAGGCGCGAAAGCUAGGGGAGCAAACGGG
rnacentral:rRNA from 1 species